rnacentral:ncRNA from 6 species
AUUCAAACGAGAACUUUGAAGGCC